rnacentral:sRNA from 1 species
GUGACAUCUAACUUUGAGCUGAAACAUGAAACUUUGUCUCGUGCUUGUGUUUCUUGCUGUUGUGUUUCACAAUUCACAACAGUCCAAAUUUUUAGGAUGUCUACUGGAAAAAGAUCCGGGGCCAUGCUUUGGUUAUUUCCCAAGAUAUUUCUUUAACACUGAAAGUGGCAAGUGUGAGCAGUUUAUUUAUGGAGGUUGUCAAGGCAACGCUAACAGAUUUGAAACACUGGUAGAAUGCGUCAAGUUGUGCUCUUAAAAAAGGGGCUAUAAUUGAAAUGGUACAAAAUUAAACGACAAAUAAAUUAAUGUUUUAAAGACUA